GGUAGUUAUUUUUCCUGCCUGCGCGGGUAAGAGAGACGCCUAGGGCCACAGUUUGGUAUGUCUCCCACAUGAUGUCACGGAAAUAAAAAGGCGCAUCUUCGAAAUUCAGUCAUGGAGGCAGCAGAGAGGGGACGGCAGCAGAAAUGGCAAGAGGGCUCAGGCGGUGAGUUCAGGCCAGCAGGUCUACAGGACUUAACUGAGCGGAAAGGUGCCCCUUAGUCGCUAUAGACACCAGCUUCUUGCAGUGAUGAGGAAUUACUCUGCUUCCCAACAUCACGGUACCACUGGCGGCUACAAACGUGCCUUACUCUCGAGUCACUUUCCUACAUUCCCUUUGGUAUUGAAACCCUGGAUUCCAGGCUGGGCCAUCCAGCUUUUAGAGGGCAGCUGUGAGAUCUGACUUGAGACGCCGCUCAGCUCUUCACCCUGUCUCUUUCAGCUUCACAGACUGUGCCCCACUAUUUUCAUACACAGCUGUUGACUUGGGGUUCAGAAAAUUGGGAUUUACACACCGUGAAUAACCGUUGGCAUUUCCUCCCCAUUUCCAAGGCUGAUUUCCACAUGAUUUCCAGGCUUGUCUCCCCAGUCUUUUUGUUUUGUUUUGGUUUUUCCC